UACGGAGGGUGCGAGCGUUAAUCGGAAUUACUGGGCGUAAAGCGUGCGUAGGCGGCUUUUUAAGUCGGAUGUGAAAUCCCCGAGCUUAACUUGGGAAUUGCAUUCGAUACUGGGAAGCUAGAGUAUGGGAGAGGAUGGUAGAAGUCCAGGUGUAGCGGUGAAAUGCGUAGAGAUCUGGAGGAAUACCGAUGGCGAAGGCAGCCAUCUGGCCUAAUACUGACGCUGAGGUACGAAAGCAUGGGGAGCAAACAGG
rnacentral:rRNA from 1 species